GUAGGUGAACCUGCGGAGGGAUCAUUAACAUAUCACAAUGAGUUGCGGUCGGGUGACGUGACGACAUCAGCGCAAGCUGUUGUUACCUCGUCAUCUGCCGCAAUGAUUUCACACCUGCGAACUCAUCCCCACAACAACCACCACACCCCGAAGCUUGACGCUUGCGUCUCGCUUCGACCCACACUUCUCACACCCCUUCUUCUUACUUUUCUCACACUGACUGGUGCUAGCCCUCGCGGCUGUGCUGUCAUGUUUACUAAUCUAUAUAUCACUCCUAGCAAUGGAUAUCUUGGUUCUC
rnacentral:misc_RNA from 1 species